CAGCCGCCGCGGUAAAACCAGCACCUCAAGUGGUCAGGAUGAUUAUUGGGCCUAAAGCAUCCGUAGCCGGAUCUGUAAGUUUUCGGUUAAAUCUAUGCGCUCAACGUAUAGGCUGCCGGAAAUACUGCAGAUCUAGGGAGUGGGAGAGGUAGACGGUACUCGGUAGGAAGAGGUAAAAUUCACUAAUCUAUCGAUGACCACCUGUGGCGAAGGCGGUCUACCAGAACACGUCCGACGGUGAGGGAUGAAAGCUGGGGGAGCAAACCGGAUUAGAUACCCGGGUAGUCCCAGCUGUAAACAAUGCAAACUCGAUGAUGCAUCGGGUUGAACCCGGUGCAGUGUUGCAGGGAAGCCGUUAAGUUUGCCGCCUGGGAAGUACGUACGCAAGUAUGAAACUUAAAGGAAUUGGCGGGGGAGCAC
rnacentral:rRNA from 1 species